rfam:Oryza glaberrima chromosome 6 Oglab06_unplaced143_4, whole genome shotgun sequence.
AAUAAGUGCAGUUUUACACUAUUUACGUUCAACGUUUGACCGUUCGUCUUAUUUGAAAUUUUUUUAUGAUUAGUAUUUUUAUUGCUAUUAGAUGAUAAAACAUGAAUAUUACUUUAUGUGUGACUAAAUAUUUUCAAAUUUUUCACAAAUUUUUCAAAUAAGACGGACGGUUAAACAUUGGGCACGGAUAUCCAUGGCUGCACUUAUU